rnacentral:rRNA from 1 species
AACGAACGCUGGCGGCAUGCCUAACACAUGCAAGUCGAACGAGACCUUCGGGUCUAGUGGCGCACGGGUGCGUAACGCGUGGGAACCUGCCCUUAGGUUCGGAAUAACUCCCCGAAAGGGGUGCUAAUACCGGAUAAUGUCUUCGGACCAAAGAUUUAUCGCCUUUGGAUGGGCCCGCGUUGGAUUAGCUAGUUGGUAGGGUAAAAGCCUACCCAGGCGACGAUCCAUAGCUGGUCUGAGAGGAUGAUCAGCCACACUGGGACUGAGACACGGCCCAGACUCCUACGGGAGGCGGCAGUGGGGAAUAUUGGACAAUGGGCGAAAGCCUGAUCCAGCAAUGCCGCGUGAGUGAUGAAGGCCUUAGGGUUGUAAAGCUCUUUUACCCGGGAUGAUAAUGACAGUACCGGGAGAAUAAGCUCCGGCUAACUCCGUG